UUAUACUUCUUUUUAAUACGUAAUAAAUACAUUAAAGAAAAAUGAAGAAAUAAAGAUAAUAAUUAUUGAAAUUAUAUUUAAAAGUUAAUUAUAAUAAAUUAACCAUGAAAGUUUCGUGUAAGUUGGAUAUCGACUUAAUUACUCACUAAAGAUAAAUUCUUGGUCCUCCUAUAACUGUAAGCUCUUUCAAGCAGGAUACGCUUUAAGUAUGAUCAAUGGGCUUCGAAGUAACUCUCUGACGAGCUUUACAAGUUUUAAUAAAUAUCACGGUCCUCUGAACUCUGUUAAAACUUAAUAAAUUAUCAUACCUUCGUAUUGUCGUAAUAAAGAAAAAGUUUCUUCUCUUUUUGUGUUGUGCGAUCAGGUUAACGAUACCUUCCUCCUGAUUUUCGUCGGAAUAUUCGAACAUGAACGUCAAAGGAACAACUGAGCCGAUUAGAAUUACUUUAUAAAUGCAUUACUUAUCAGCUAGAUAACAAUUUAUUAUCAGUUAUUAAACAAUUAAGACUUAUAUGAAAAGGAACAAAAUAAAUAAAUAAACACAGCGUCACGUUAUAAACUCGUUGUCUAGUGUUGAUAAGUUCUAGUUAUCGUAAUUUAUUUUUACGACGAUUGGUAUGGAAGAAAUAUAUAUCUGAAAGAGAGAGAGAGAGAGAGAGAGAGAGAGACAGAGAGAGAGAGAAAGAACUGAAUGUAUUUACUUCGUUAAUGAGAUAACAAAAUAUACGAAAGUUUUACUUAAAAUCAUGAAACUUUGUCCAAAGUAUAAUUUAUGACAGAAUUAAUAGUAUUAGAAUGGACUGGAGAAGAAAAAUAAGCUGGACUAUCAUAAAAGUGUAGCCGACUAAUUACAAGGACAUUAUAUUUACUACGCCUUCUUACGGAACCUUACGAUCGUCCGAGACGCGUAUCAGCCGUUUUAAGGAUCCAGAAGGAGUGGAGUGUGUUCUCGCUCGCAACAAGAAGAAGAUGAUCCAAAGAAGAAAAAAAGGAAGAAGAAGAUGAGAAUGAAGAAGAAAGAAGAAAAAGAAGAAGAAGAAGAAGAAGAAGAUCGGCGAUGCUGAGAGAGCCAAGUCGAGACGUGCUGGUAAUCGCCAGGCUGUCGUUAUUAAAUAUGAUUGCGCAACUCGAAAAGCGGCUCCAAAGGACGCGUAUUAUGACACUAUGGCAUGUAGUCGCGCUUCUAUGGGGCACACUGCGUCAUAUCUCGAUGUGUAUGACGAUACCUCUCUCUUUCUCUUUUUCUCUCUCUCUCUCUCUCUCUCUCUCUCUCUCUCUUUCUCUCUCUCUUUCUCUCUGUCUGUCUGUCUGUUUCUGUCUCUGUCUCUUUACCAGACUCGUAUUGCAGGUAAUACGCCUGCGAUCAGGGGCGUACACGAGCCUGGAUCGAUAUCUUCUUACGUAGAUAUUAUUAUUCUUCAUUCGUUCAGAGACGUCUCGAUCGAUCUCGUCCAUCCUUUGCUCGAAUAACUUCUAUAACUAUAUAUAUAUAUACAUAUAUAUAUUAUGCAGAUACAACAUCUUUGGAUGGAUCAGACUAGCUUGAAUUUCGUCCUUCUCUCUUUUUCCAUCUUUUGUUGGAGAACGAAAAAAAAGUACAGAAAAGAAAAAAAGAUAAAAGAAAAACCAUGAAGAAACAGGAAAGAACAAACAUGUUUUUUUCCUUCCGAAGAAGAUACCCAUUCGACGAGACAUCCUUUUCAUCGUCUACGAUUUCUCGUAACGAUAUCCUUUACGACUUAUAUCGAAUGCUUAAGCAUGUAUCGUUAUAUAUAUAUAUAUAUGUAUAUAGGUAUAUAAUGAAUGAACGGAUAUCUCAACCAAAAGCGAUAUCGUUGCUUAACUAAGCGGAUUUUUAUCAUUGCAAAAAGACGUAAACGCCCAGGUAAUAUUAUAUAAACUUCAACGAUCUUAGCUCAUCGAGAGAGACCAGUUAACACCACCUAUCGAGACUUCUAUGAUAUAAAGAAAGAAGGAGAACAAUGUAGUAACAAAAUGCUUCUCGAUUAAAUUCCCUCUUAAACGAAGAUCCAUUCAAUUUACUGGAAUGCAUUCAUAUUUAUUAUCGCCAAUACAAAUUCUAUUUAUAAAAUGAUCGUUUAUCAUCGAUUCGCGACCUAUCCAAAAGUCGAUGUUCAAUCGAUCCGUUUGACGUUAGGAAAUGCACACGCGUGCUUUUCCGCAUUAUAAUCGAUCCCUGGUAUGGUAUAUCUCGGCGUAUAGAUUAUAUUAUGCGAAAUCUUCUAUACGUGACUUUUUUAGAAACGUACAAGAAGAUGCACGAAUACAAAAUGAUAUAUAGAUAUAUAUAUAUAUAAUUAUGUAUAAAUGCAUACAUAUAUGUAUAUUCGCGGUUUUCUACAUGCGCCACCAACGUGACGAUCUCAUCUUUUCAUCGUCAGCUGACGCGAUCGAGUCGCAUGAUUUGCCCAUAGUUGAGCCGCGCCGUACAGUCUUGACAAGAAAAUUGUUUCUUGAAAAUUUAUCUUACGCGCGCGCGCGGAUCAAUAAUUUUCACCUUUUCUUCUUCUUUAUUCUUUCUUUUUUUUCUUCUUUUUUUUUUUUUUUUUUUUUGUUAGUUCGAAUCGACGAGGAAGAGAUGACGAUUUUUCUUUUUUUUUUCUUUCUUUUUUUUCUUUUUUUUUUCAUUCCGUCAGAAGGACACAAUCAUUGAAUUCAUUGCGACGACACAAGCAGCCCCCUCGGUCUUACGUUCCGUGGUGUAUCGAUUCGAUGUAAAUGGUAAAGCUUUUCGCGUGAUUUCUCAUCGAGACCAACGGGAUCGUCAUCGCGAAGAGAGAAUAAUCCUGCACAUUUUAUAGCGCGUCACAGGAAUGACACGAUGUAAAUGUCGGUAUAUGGCCGUGGAACUUCGCGAGAAAGGUUGCGUACAUUCGGUACGAAGAUUAAUAUCGGACGAUGCUGGGUGUUGCUUAUUGAAAUUCGCGACAUGGAUACGGUUCAUGAUACAUACGCGACUCGUUUCGCCGAAAAAAAAAAGAAAAAAGGGGUGGCCC